AGCUUGGGGCUGGACCCCAGCCUCCAGCCUCACCUCCUGCCGGCCUCUCUGCUUGCCCUCCCCGCCCCAGAGGGGGGGUGGGAGGCCUUGAGAUUGUCCCCGGUACCCCAAGGACGCCGAGGUUACGGGAAGUUUGGGGACUCGGGCCCCAGUAUCCUGAGUUCUUCCAGGAGAAGGAAGAUGGCGAAGACAGUGAGGGAAGAGAGCAGACGUCUGACUCCGGGGUGCUUAUCUGUGUGGAAGAGACCGGUUCUUCCUGACUGGCUUCAUGUCCCUCAAGCCCCACUUUCUGUGUGCCUGUGUGUGCAUAUAUCUAUCUGCGCAUGUGUAUGGAGGCCAGAGGACAACCUUGACUGUCGUUCACAAAGUGCCUCUCACAUUUUGUUGUGCUGGAACUUCGCCUAAGAAGUGGGUUAAACUGGCCAGUAAGCCUCAGGAGUGCUUCCGUCUCCACCUUCUCAGUGCUGAGAUUACAAACUGGAGCCUUGUGUCUGGCCUUCAACGUGGAUUCUCAGGAUCCAAGGAUCCAACAUUGGGCUCCCAUGCUAACAAGGUGUUCUCCUGGCUCUUCAAGUAUUUACCCGUCUGUGUGUGACUCAUAUCCAGGAACCCAGGCAGCUUCCCUCAAUAGAUUGCUGGCUUCAGAAGAUGAGCCUCCCCUGCCGCUCCACAAGGCUCAAGUGCUUCAAUGAAAUAAAAGAGAACUGAAAUAAAAGAGAAA
rnacentral:lncRNA from 1 species